rfam:Streptomyces rubrolavendulae strain MJM4426, complete genome.
UUUGACCUGGACUCGGCGGAUCGUAGGAUCAACAGGUCAUCGCCGCGACGGGGAACAGGAAGCCGGUGCGAAUCCGGCACGGUCCCGCCACUGUGACCGGGGAGUGCACCCUUCGACACGCCACUGCGCGCCGCGCGGGAAGGCAGGGGGAGGAGCGUCGAUCCGGGAGUCAGGACACUGGCCCGUCGCGGGCCCGUUCC